CUUGUGCUUGUGCAGGCAUCUCUCUCUCUCUCUCUCUCUCUCUCUCUCUCCCCCCCCCUCGCUCUUUCCCCCUACCCUGCUUCUCUCUUUGUAUUUAUGCACGUACCAAAUAAAAGUCAUGGGAGGACACAGUGGGAAGGCAGCUGUCUGCAAGCAAGGAAGCAAGCCCUCACCAGAAAUCACAUUGGCCAGAACACUGAUCUUGGACUACUCACUCUUCAGAACUGCUGGCCCAGGCUUCUGUAUUUGGCAGCAGGACAAUCUAAGAAACUGAAGGCAGAAGCUGCAAGUUCCUGAGACCCAGGCUCUGAAUCUUCCACAGUGUCACUUCUGCCAGGUUCUGUUGGUGAAUGCAAAUCACAGGGAACAGAUCUAAUGGAAGAAGUUCUGAUACAAGGGAAAGAAACGAUCCUCAGACAAAAAAAUACCUGGCUCAACUUACUAUGCACAUCAAUUAGAGCAAUUUAACUGAAUUUUCUGUCUGUCUCUUCAUGUACAAAUAGCUCCUGUUCAGAGAUCCUCACAAUUACUGUGAAAUUCACAGCAAGAAAGUAAUUUUUCAUAACCUUUUCUCAAAUCUUUAUUUCCAUCAAGCAUCCAAGAACCUUGACAUAAGAACAUCAACAGAAAAAUGCAUCAAACAUUAGCUCAAGGACAUUGAAAGAAAAACAACUUAAAAUAAAGUUAUCAAUUACACAGGAAUUCAUAAAGACAACUUACUACAUUCAGGUCCCAGAUGCAGCUCUUUAUGGAAAAUGACAUCAUGCAAAAGAGUGCCUCUGUCUGCUCAGAGUUCACAAUCAUCUCAAGAAAUAAAAGACUCAUUUUUUUAAGUGUAGAAAUGGUAUCUCUCAAAGACAUCAGUAUUAGAAACAAAAGCCAAUAAUUAAAUUUGGA